UCAAGUACUCCAUUCCUCAGCCACCAGGCAGACAGAGCGUGGAAGUCUACUACCCCUAUGACUUCUCCCAGCAAAGGAUAAUAACAAACCUUCCUCCCAUGACAAAUAACCCUUCAGUGCCAGAUAUCCUCCCAUUUGAUUACCCUCCGC